AAGUCGUAACAAGGUUUCCGUAGGUGAACCUGCGGAAGGAUCAUUAUUGAAUAUUCUUGAUGGGUUGUAGCUGGCUCUCCGGAGCAUGUGCACACUUGUCUUGACUUUAUUCGUCCACCUGUGCACCUUUUGUAGUCUUGGGGGUUGAGAGCGGUCGACUAUCGGAUGGCUAUGGCCUUUCCGGAUGUGAGGAUUGCUGAGUGAAAGCAUACAGCUCUUCUCAAAUGACUUGCAAAACCUCUCCCUCGAGUACUAUGUAUUCAUAUACCACAUAGUAUGUUGUAGAAUGUGAUCAAUGGGCCUAUGUGCCUAUAAUAAUGAAAUACAACUUUCAGCAACGGAUCUCUUGGCUCUC
rnacentral:misc_RNA from 1 species